rnacentral:rRNA from 1 species
UACAGAGGGGGCAAGCGUUGUUCGGAAUUACUGGGCGUAAAGGGCGCGUAGGCGGCCUGCUAAGUCGAACGUGAAAUCCCCGGGCUCAACCCGGGAACUGCGUCCGAUACUGGCAGGCUUGAAUCCGGGAGAGGGAUGUGGAAUUCCAGGUGUAGCGGUGAAAUGCGUAGAUAUCUGGAGGAAUACCGGUGGCGAAGGCGGCAUCCUGGACCGAGAUUGACACUGAUGAGCGAAAGCCAGGGGAGCAAACGGG